AUACAGAGGGUGCGAGCGUUAAUCGGAAUUACUGGGCGUAAAGCGCGCGUAGGUGGUUUAUUAAGUUGGAUGUGAAAUCCCCGGGCUUAACCUGGGUUUGUCAUUCAAAACUGAUAGACUAGAGUAUGGUAGGGGGUAGUGGAAUUCCUAGUGUAGCGGUGAAAUGCGUAGAGAUUAGGAGGAACACCAGUGGCGAAGGCGACUGCCUGGACUGAUACUGACACUGAGGUGCGAAAGCGUGGGGAGCAAACAGGAUUAGAUACCCCUGUAGUCC
rnacentral:rRNA from 1 species